AUUGAACGCUGGCGGCAGGCCUAACACAUGCAAGUCGAGCGAGCGGCGGACGGGUGCGUCAUGCCUGGGAAUUGCACAGUCGAGGGGGAUAACAGUUGGAAACGACUGCUAAUACCGCAUACGAUUGGAUUGCCCAGGUGUGAUUAGCUAGUUGGUGAGGUAAUGGCUCACCAAGGCGACGAUCCCUAGCUGGUCUGAGCGGAUGAUCAGCCACACUGGAACUGAGACACGGUCCAGACUCCUACGGGAGGCAGCAGUGGGGAAUAGUGCACAAUGGGGGAAAACCUGAGGCAGCCAUGCCGCGUGUGUGAAGAAGGCCUUCGGGUUGUAAAGCACUGUCAGCGAGGAGGCGUUACUCGCAGAGAAAGCACCGGCUAACUACGUGCCAGCAGCCGCGAUAAUUC
rnacentral:rRNA from 1 species